UUUCUAUCUCCUUGUUCAUUCUUGCUUUCCUGUUUCUUCUUGUGUAGAUUUACUUUCAAUGUUUCUGGUUCAUACUUCUAGUUCAUGCUGUGAGAAGUUGUAGCAAUGUUCAGCAGAAUUUUAACAUGUUAUCAGAGCAAACUAAUUAUGCAUUCUAUCUUCUUUGAUUAUUCUUGUUUUCUCCACUAUUCUUCCUCUUUGGAAUGUCGUACACCAUUAUCACUAUCAUCUUUCGUUUCUGCUUCUUCAUCAUCAAAAGCAUUAAUAGAAUCACGUCUUGGAGAGGAAGGUACUAAAAUUGAUUCAUGUAAAUGUGAUCUACAUUCUCCUUGUCAUUGGUCUCAUCAUCGAAAGAGACUUCAUCAUCCGGAGGAGGAAAGUCAAAGUGCAAGUAUAUUGCAAAUAAAGAUGGUUCUUAGACUCUUGUUUGGAAGAUUUGUUGGACUUCUCAUUAAUAGCCUCAUCUUUAGCAUCACUUCUUUUAGAACCAAUAGAGUUCUUGUGUAUCACCCAAUUGUUCGAUGUCUUGAAAAGUACCAACCAAAUGUAAUAAUCACUUCAAGACUUGCAG
rnacentral:lncRNA from 1 species